CUACGGGUGCAGCAGUAAGGAAUAUUGGGCAAUGGACGCAAGUCUGACCCAGCCAUGCCGCGUGCAGGAUGACAGCCCUACGGGUUGUAAACUGCUUUUAUACGGGAAAAAUUCCCCGGUCGUGAAUCGGGGUUGAUGGUACCGUAAGAAUAAGCAUCGGCUAACUCCGUGCCAGGCAGCCGCGGUAAUACGGAGGAUGCAAGCGUUAUCCGGAUUCAUUGGGUUUAAAGGGUGCGUAGGCGGAAUGAUAAGUCAGUGGUGAAAUCCUACAGCUUAACUGUAGAACUGCCAUUGAUACUGUUGUUCUUGAGUACAGUUGAAGUGGGCGGAAUGUGUCAUGUAGCGGUGAAAUGCAUAGAGAUGACACAGAACACCGAUGGCGAAGGCAGCUCACUAAACUGUAACUGACGCUGAGGCACGAAAGCGUGGGGAUCAAACAGGAUUAGAUACCCCUGUAGUC
rnacentral:rRNA from 1 species